rnacentral:rRNA from 1 species
AUGCAGCCCAUCCUUGACAAGGCAAGAUCAAGGAUUAAGCCAUGGAAGGGGAAGAUGCUUAACAGGCCAGGCAAGCUUGCUUUGGUUAACUCGGUCCUAACUGCUAUUGCAACUUAUUAUCUGACGUGCUUUGCUGCGGAUGAAUGGGCCUCCAAAAUGCUGGACAAGUUAAGGCCGAGUUUCCUUUGGGCUGGAGAGGAAGAGGCCAAUGGAGGGAAAUGCAUGGUGAACUGA